GAAGUUUGGAACCGUGUCUGCCGGGAGAUUCCCCGCCGUGUACUGCGGCCGGCUACCGGGGCCGUGUUCCCUUCAAUAGUUGGCUUCGAAUUGGUGGAUUAAGAGUGCUUGCGUGGUAGUUCCCGUCCUUCGGGAAAUGGGGCUUUCGUAUAAUUGUUGCCUCGCGGCGGACGCCCUUUGGGUGUGCCGCUGCGGCCGAAUAGCGGUUGCGGCGUUGCCUCGUGGCGCUGGCAUGUUAUGUGCCUUCUGCUAUCAAAGCAACCUCGCUCCCGCUGUUGGUCUCGGAUGCUGCUCACGAUAAAGGGUCGUGGCAAUUUGGUUUGCCUCGACCCGACCCAAAGCUCUCCAAACUGAGAACAACCGGAACAGGAGUUGCCUCUACCUCUCCACAGUUACGUGGUAGGAUACGCGACUCUCUGCGCCGAUCCUCAAGGAGGAUGAGCUAUGCCGCUCAACAGCGACAACCGGCCCGGCUGUUGCCUCUGAGUUUUCACGCAAGUGGAAGCGCAGGCCGACGGCCGACGCUGGGCGUCACCGAGGA
rnacentral:misc_RNA from 1 species